GCUGGGCAUGGUGGCUCAUGCCCGUAAUCCCAGCACUUUGGGAGGCUGAGGCGGGUGGAUCACCUGAGGUCAGGAGUCCUAGACCAGCCUGGCUAACAUGGUGACACCCUGUCUCUA
rfam:Homo sapiens chromosome 8, GRCh38 reference primary assembly.